rnacentral:lncRNA from 1 species
CAGGAGUUAAAUUGCUCAUUCAGGAAAGAAGUAGCCAAAAAUGGCCAAAGGAAGGCCCAGUGGGAGAAUCCAAAUGUUUCUUUCCCCUCAGUGUUAAAACUGCCAAGCCAAUUUGUUAGUAGAGAUAGCUCUUCCAAUGCAAAGUGGUGAGAACAGCUUGGCUUGGCUUGGCUUGGCUUGGCUUGCGUGAUGCAUCCAGUACAGAGACCUUGAUCUUCAAACCUGCAGUUAAUCCGUGCUCAAAAUGAGCUUUUUUCCCCCAGUAUGGUGCUAUCUCCAGACCUUCAGACUGAGCAUGAAGAAAAAAGGCAAUGAGAAACCCUCAGCUUUCAGCAGGGCACUUGUAGAGUCAUUAAGAUUGGAAAAGACCGCUAAGAUCAUCUAGUCCAACCAUCAACCCAUCCCCUCUGUGCACACAAAACCACAUUGAACUUGCACAAAGCAGUCAAUGAUUCCGUCAUUUCUUUUUCAGGGUAAAACAAGCCAAAUAUUCUUCAGGAAAUCUAGAAGUGUGUGUGGGGAGGGGGUUCUGCCCCUUCCUCCUCCAAGCCAUUUUUGCCUUAAUAUUUAGCUCCUCUCAUCGUUCAAGGACUUUAAUUAAACUUCCUUACAUUGGCAUCACUGCAUGUAAAAAGCAAACCUAAUUAUUAUGGAAUUCAUAGGAAACAGAAUCUGGGAUCCACUAAAAGCUCCUCUGAGAGGUGAACCUUGGAUUCAACAGCUCCUUGCUGGGGGGUGAAUUACGGGGCACGGGAGGAAUAUGGGAAAUAGGAACAUAGGAGGACGGACAACAGCUUCUGAAAGGCUGGGGCAGCUCCAAGGCAGCGCGCUGGAGCAGUCUGUGUUUCCCUUCCCACCCUACCAAGAGCAAAAGCAGUUUUUGGUGGGAUUUUGUCUUCUAGGGAGGAAAGGACACAGGAGGCUCAGGGUGAGGUGGGACGCCCUCAGCUAGAGCAAUGGCGGUGCUUGGGGCCGCGUGCCGACCAUCCUCUGUGCCACCACAACCUGCCCGUGUCCCUGGACGGCCUCAAUGAACCUCAUCCAACACCCAAAACUCUUUUAUUAAAAAAAAAAAAAAAAUCUUCCUUCCCUCAAUUAGAGGCAAAGGGAAAAAAAAAAGAAGAAUUGGGGUCAACGCGAAGCAGCCGUAUUUUAGCCGUCCUUUGGGAGCCGAUCUGCGCUCACACUGUGGGUGUUCUCAUUGCACACACUGAACAGGAGACGUUUUCCCUUAGUAGGACAGGCUCUGUGCUGCAGCCCUUCUCGCCCGGCCAUAAAAGGGCAGCGAUUUCGGUGCGACCCCCGGGCCCUCCCGGCCUGGUCGGCCGCAUCCCGGCGCUGCUGCUUCCAACCUCCUCGCCUUUGGCUCGCUCUUCUCUCACGCCUUUUGUUUUGUCUCUCUCCUCCUCUCUGGAGGCUGCAGGGAUUGAGGCCAGAGAGCCUCCAGGAAUGUUCUUGCCUUCCCUAUUUUUUUUUUUUCCCCUCUCUCUCUCUCUCUCUUGGCCUGAUGUGAUCCCUGCCUUUCCAUGCUCCCUGUGCCUGCCCAGAAAAUCAGUUGCUGGGUGAAAACCAGUUGCUGGGCCAGCAGUACAUCCCCAAAGGGUCGGCUGUCCCCCUUCAUCCUGUGGGUGAGGCCCUGCCCACCUGCAGGGCUCUUCCACCCCCUGCUCCGCUCUGUGCUGCGGCCUGAUUGGGUGCUGCCAUGUCAGAAGGACAUGGAGCUGUUAUGGAGCGUCCAAAGGAGGGCUGCGGAGAUGGGGAAGGCCCUGCAGCCCCUCACGGCCCUACAGCCCCUCACGGCCCUACAGCCCCUCACGGCCCUACAGCCCCUCACGGCCCUACAGCUCCACUCAGGGGAACAGAGGGACAGGUGCUUCCCUAGAGGAGCAAAACUAUGGGAAGACAAUGCGAAACAUCAGAGAUCAGUUAAACCAGGGCAGCGUGAACCUCUCCUGGUUCCCUAGGAUCAUUGCCAGGCCCCAUAUUGUUGCCCAUCUGCAGGAGAUGGCCCUUUUGUGGUACCCAUAUUUCUAUAUCACCAGGGUCUUCCUGCUUUUGUUCCUCACCUACCCUUAUCCCUAGGGCUUCCCUGUCACUGGAGAACCCAUCCAUUGAAAUCAUGGAAUCAUUAAGACUGGAAAAGACCUCUGAGAUCCCCAAGUCCAC